rnacentral:rRNA from 1 species
UACGUAGGGUCCGAGCGUUGUCCGGAAUUAUUGGGCGUAAAGGGCUCGUAGGCGGUUUGUCGCGUCGGGAGUGAAAACGCCGGGCUUAACCCGGUGCUUGCUUUCGAUACGGGCAGACUGGAGGUAUGCAGGGGAGAACGGAAUUCCUGGUGUAGCGGUGAAAUGCGCAGAUAUCAGGAGGAACACCGGUGGCGAAGGCGGUUCUCUGGACAUGACCUGACGCUGAGGAGCGAAAGUGUGGGGAGCGAACAGG